UUUUUAACAUUAAAUUUCAUCCAUACAACACAUCAUUUUAGAAAACUUUAGGAAAAAAACCUUUAGAGGAUCCUUGGUGAUCUAAACAAUUCUCUCUCUCUCUUCACCACUUCCAUCCACCCUCCGUCGCAACCACAGCGGCCGCCGCCUCAUCGCCGUACUCAACAUCUUCAUCAAUCUUUGCGCUCUGUCGUCGACUCUUCCUCCUUCCAUCAUCGUCUUCCCUUUCCUCCGCAGUAUGCUGCUCUGGCGGUGGAGCACGACACUAGAGCGUCGACCACCGCGCCGUCUCCAACGCAAUGAUCUGGCUCUUCUCUUCUCUCUUCAUUUAGAUCUGAUCUCCCCAUCGGCGUCGUCGCUGCCGCUACCUCGACUCCUCGUCCUCCUCCUAUGCUGGUGGCUUUGUCGGAUCCUCUUCUUCUCCCUUAUUUAUUAUUUUCUAAAUGCAUGCAAGUACAAUAGUGUUUAUAUGUAAGAAGAGACUUACAAAAGCAUAGGUGGGAUGAUCAGAUGUGUGAGUGUUGGAGAAGAACUCAGUGAGGCAAUUUUCAAUGAGGGUCUUGCGGGAGGAGGUGAGUUGUGUGAUUGGAUCAGAGGCGAUGAGUAUCAUGACAAAUGCGGUAAAAUUCGACAUAGCUUUGUUAGGUAUUCUUUCAUUGGGUUUGUGUUUGGGGGUGUCGUCAUUGUUGGCGUUUUGUAAGGGGUUUUAGGAUGAUUGUAUUUGUAGGUAAGUUGAUGGUGGAGCUAAUAGUGGUGGUCGUAGUGAUUUGGGCGUGGAGGGAUUUAUAAUAGUAGAAAAAGAAGAAGAAAAAAAAGAAGUGAUGAAAGUAAAAAAAUUGGGAAGGCUGGCUAUCAAUUGUACAGAUCUAGAUCUGGUGUAAUUUUUGGUUUUUUUUGGUUGUGUGAGUGUUUAUCUGGUUCAGAUCAAGUGUGUGUAUUUAUCUUUGGUAGUGCUUUGAACAGAUAGAAAUUGAUUGGGAUUUUGUUUUGUA